rnacentral:tRNA from 1 species
GCCUGGCUAGCUCAGUCGGGAGAGCAUGAGACUCUUAAUCUCAGGGUUGUGGGUUCGAGCCCCACGUUGGGCG